AGCGUAGACGGUGUGGCAAGUCUGAUGUGAAAGGCAUGGGCUCAACCUGUGGACUGCAUUGGAAACUGUCAUACUUGAGUGCCGGAGGGGUAAGCGGAAUUCCUAGUGUAGCGGUGAAAUGCGUAGAUAUUAGGAGGAACACCAGUGGCGAAGGCGCUUCUCUGGACUGUAACUGACGCUGAGGCUCGAAAGGCGUGGGAGCAAACA
rnacentral:rRNA from 1 species